rnacentral:sRNA from 12 species
UCUUAGUUUGACCAUGGUUUAGCUAGGGCCACACGCCUUUUGCUUAUGCUCCUAGGGCGUCAAAUGCAAACACGACAUUAAGUAAAAAUUAGCUAUUAAGCAAAUUUGAAAUAUGAAGUGUUGGUGGUUUUACUUUCAAGCAGAAGGCUACAUAGU